rnacentral:rRNA from 1 species
UACGGGGGGAGCAAGCGUUGUUCGGAAUUACUGGGCGUAAAGGGCUCGUAGGCGGCCAACUAAGUCCGACGUGAAAUCCCCAGGCUUAACCUGGGAACUGCGCCGGAUACUGGAUGGCUUGAAUUCGGGAGAGGGAUGCAGAAUUCCAGGUGUAGCGGUGAAAUGCGUAGAUAUCUGGAGGAAUACCGGUGGCGAAGGCGGCAUCCUGGACCGACAUUGACGCUGAGGAGCGAAAGCUAGGGGAGCAAACGGG